rnacentral:rRNA from 1 species
UACGUAGGGGGCGAGCGUUGUCCGGAUUUAUUGGGCGUAAAGAGCUCGUAGGCGGUUCGGCAAGUCGGAUGUGAAAGCCCACGGCUCAACCGUGGAAGUGCAUCCGAAACUGCAUAGCUUGAGUCUCGGAGAGGAAGGUGGAAUGCUUGGUGUAGAGGUGAAAUUCGUAGAUAUCAAGCAGAACACCUGCGGCGAAGGCGGCCUUCUGGACGAUGACUGACGCUGAGACGCGAAAGCGUGGGGAGCAAACAGG